ensembl:lncRNA
GUUAGCCUGGUGAGGAAGAUAAAGACAUUUGCAACCAAGAUGGUAAUCACGAGUGGAAAUGAUGAAGACAGAGGAGGUCAAGAAAAAGAAAGUAAGGAGGAGAGUGUCUUGGCAAUGCUGGGGAUUAUUGGGACCAUUCUGAACCUGAUUGUGAUCAUAUUUGUCUACAUAUACACCACCCUGUGAAUGGCCCAGAGCGUCCUCAGAGGCCUCGGGAUGGCCAGAGACGGAAGUCCUGCGUGUCGGCGUAUCACUGACCAGACACUGCGAGAACCAGCAGGCUUGACCCACCCACACCACCCAAUCAAAUGCACCUUCAGACUUUACAGAAGGUCACACAAAUAGACCGAUCCUGCUGCAGGGAGCAGACACUAAAGCACAAUGAUUCCAACAAAACUCAUUCACAGCACUAGGAACUCAACGUCUUUGGCAGGGGGCCCAGAAGAAUGCUUGGACGACCAGCCUCUGACACCAUCGGUGUUCUCUUGUGGAGCCAUUCUAGUCCUCUUGUCUCGUCUCGAAUCUUUUACUUUUGCGCUCUUGUUCUCUCUCUCUCUCUCCUUCUCUGUCUCUCUGCCUCUUUGGUCUGAAGGACAUUUUCCCAUACUACCAGCCAUGGUUUUGGUUGGUGCAUGUUUCAAGAUUGUCUAUUGAGUGGCUUUUUGUUGUUCUCUCGGAGAUAUCAAACGAUUGUGGGCAUGCAGACCUUAGAUGCACCCUAUCUUUACUGAGAAUUAUGCAUGAAUAAGGGCUGAGUGAUAGAUCAGCUUAAAAUUAAAAGGACUACCGUUGAGGAAGAAGAGUGUGGCUGUAUUUGCAGAUGAACUUUUGAACAGAAUAUUCAGCUUCUUAUUGGCAGGGUUAUUGUUUCAUUCUUGUCACCAUUUGUUUAUCAGAUUUUGAUUUUAGUGGUCAUGUACCGUGACAGUUGGGAAGAACAAGGCGGAAAGGUCAGAACUAGGUGCAUUACUCCUUCCUUGGCAAGAUACCUGGGAUCCUCUUCAAAAGUGGGUGGGGUGUAAAUGACACAAGAACUCCCCCAUGAGAGCUCAUGGUGGUUCAGGCUGUGAGGACAGCCCUGUGACAAGUGACUUUUCAGGGGCAUAAGGAGGGGAUUUAAUGAUUGCCCUAAAGGACUGCUGCAUUUUUAAAGCCCCUGGUUUACACCCACGUGAAGCAACUUCCUCUCUGGCAGGGAUGGGUGCAUAAAAACAAAUUGGCUCCCUGAAAUGGGCCCUUGCCUGGCUGCAGUGACAUGGCCUAAAAGAGGGGGUUAGUAUUCCUUCUGCCAUUGCCAGCUGUAUUCAUCUGUUUUCACACUGCUGAUAAAGACAUCUCCAAGACUGGGCAAUUUACAAAAGAAAGAGGUUUAUUGGACUUGCAGUUCCACGUGGCUGAGGAGGCCUCACAAUCAUGGUGGAAGGUGAAAGGCACGUCUCACAUGGUGGCAGACAAGAAAAGUGAACAUGUGCAAGGAGACUCCCAUUUUUAAAGCAGAUCUCGUGAGACUUAUUCACUGUCAUGCAAACAGCAUGGGAAACCUGCCCCCGUGAUUUGGUUACCUCCCACUGGGUCCCUCCCACAACACGUGGGGAUUCAAGAUGAGAUUUGGGUGGUGUGACAGCCAGACUGUAUCACCAGCCUUGCCCCUAGGCAGAAGCAGCAGCAGUCUGCCUGGCUGGAUUCAAAUGAUUCUGAGGCUUCUGUAGUCUAUGCCUCCAGAUCUCUCCCUCACCCAUGCUGUGGUGUCUGAAAUUCCAUCAUUAGAGAGUCAUUUCUUGGGCUCUAUUAAAGGGACCAGGCUCUUUUAUAAAGCAAAUGCUCCUGAGCAGCUGGCUCUGGCAUUGAUUUAUCAGAUAUCUUCUCUUCCCUGCCAGAAGGAAGGAAGCUAAGGUGCAUGUAGGGCGUACUGUGUGCCCAGGCACUGUGCCAGAAGCUUUGGAUACUUGGAGUCAUUUGAUUCUCAUAGUAACCCUGUGAGAGAGGGAGGUUUUCCUCCCCCACAUUGUAGAAGAAGGAAAAAUGGUUCAGAGAGAUCAAGAAAUGUCCCUGAGAUCACAUUGCUCCUAGUGGAGUCAGGAUCCAAACCCAAUGUGUCUGAUUCCUUAGCCCUUGGGGGUCUGGAGGCUGCUGAACAAGAGAGGAGGUGGAGAGGAGAGAAAGCCGCAGGAAUACCACCGAACACCCUUCUCCCUCCCCUGUAAAAACAACCCUGGGAACUCCUUGGACACUAGCAGAAUAUCAUACACUAAGGACAAGGGAUGAGAGGAGGCUGGUUAGAAAUAAAGCAAUGUCAGGGGAAAGGAGCUACUCAGUAGGCUCUAUGUGAUUCUAGAAAGACUGUAUGAAAAUUCUGAACCUUGAACAGAAUAAACAAUAAAGGUGCAAUGGAAAAAAAUACUCGAUGUCUUUUCUUUCAACAUUGUGGGAUAUAAAGCAUUUCAGUGUCAGUCCUUUGCCUAUACGUAGUGUUUAUUUAUUUAUUUAUUUUUUAAAAAACUGAACGUGAUGCUGUU